rnacentral:rRNA from 1 species
GGAGACAGAGCACCGGGUGCUAACGUCCGGACUCAAAAGGGAAACAACCCAGACCGCCGGCUAAGGUCCCAAAUAACAGCUAAGUGGAAAACGAAGUGGAAAGGCCGUGACAACCAGGAAGUUGGCUUAGAAGCAGCCAUCCUUCAAAGAAAGCGUAAUAGCUCACUGGUCGAGUCCUUCUGCGCGGAAGAUGUAACGGGGCUAAGCUGUUAACCGAAGCCGCGGAUGCACUGGUUAUCCAGUGCGUGGUAGGGGAGCGUUCUGUAAGUCUGCGAAGGCGGUUCGAGAGGACUGCUGGAGAUAUCAGAAGUGCGAAUGCUGACAUGAGUAACGUUAAAGCAGGUGAAAAGCCUGCUCGCCGUAAGCCCAAGGAUUCCUGCUCUACGUUCAUCGGAGCAGGGUGAGUCGGCUCCUAAGGUCAGGCCGAAAGGCGUAGCCGAUGGGAAUCAGGUUAAUAUUCCUGAACCUGCGUCAGAUGCGAUGGGGGGACGGAGCAUGGAAGAUCAUCCGGGUGUUGGAAGUCCCGGUUGUUGAGCGUAGGGGGUCUGCAGGCAAAUCCGCAGACGCAUCUCCAAGGCAAAGACACGUGCCGCCACGGCGGCGAAGUGAUCGGAAGUGCUUCCAAGAAAAGCCUCUAAGCCCCAGUCUGACGCGGACCGUACCGCAAACCGACACUGGUGGGCGAGCUGAAUAUGCUCAGGCGCUUGAGAGAACUCGGGAGAAGGAACUCGGCAAAUUGACACCGUAACUUCGGAAGAAGGUGUGCCGUAGUACCGUGAGAGGAGAGACACCUUGAGCGGGAAACGGUCUCAGAGAAUAGGUGGCUGCGACUGUUUAUUAAAAACACAGCACUCUGCAAAGUCGAAAGACGACGUAUAGGGUGUGAUGCCUGCCCGGUGCUGGAAGAUUAAUUGAUGGGGUGAGAGCCCUUGAUCGAAGUCCCAGUAAACGGCGGCCGUAACUAUAACGGUCCUAAGGUAGCGAAAUUCCUUGUCGGGUAAGUUCCGACCUGCACGAAUGGCAUAACGAUGGCCACACUGUCUCCUCCCGAGACUCAGUGAAGUUGAAAUGUUUGUGAUGAUGCAAUCUACCCGCGGCUAGACGGAAAGACCCCAUGAACCUUUACUGCAGCUUUGCAUUGAACUGUGAACCGAUUUGUGUAGGAUAGGUGGGAGGCAGAGAAGAGGCCACGCCAGUGGUCUUGGAGCCGACCUUGAAAUACCACCCUGAUUUGUUUGCGGUUCUAACCACGGACAGUGAUCCUGUCUUGGGACCGUGCAUGGUAGGCAGUUUGACUGGGGCGGUCUCCUCCUAAAGGGUAACGGAGGAGUACGAAGGUACGCUAGGUACGGUCGGAAAUCGUGCUGAUAGUGCAAUGGCAAAAGCGUGCUUGACUGCGAGAGCAACAACUCGAGCAGAUGCGAAAGCAGGUCAUAGUGAUCCGGUGGCUCUGAAUGGAAGGGCCAUCGCUCAACGGAUAAAAGGUACUCUGGGGAUAACAGGCUGAUACCGCCCAAGAGUUCAUAUCGACGGCGGUGUUUGGCACCUCGAUGUCGGCUCAUCUCAUCCUGGGGCUGUAGUCGGUCCCAAGGGUAUGGCUGUUCGCCAUUUAAAGAGGUACGUGAGCUGGGUUUAAAACGUCGUGAGACAGUUUGGUCCCUAUCUGCCGUGGGCGUUGGAAGAUUGACGGGGGCUGCUCCUAGUACGAGAGGACCGGAGUGGACGCACCUCUGGUGUACCGGUUGUCACGCCAGUGGCAUUGCCGGGUAGCUAAGUGCGGAAGAGAUAACCGCUGAAAGCAUCUAAGCGGGAAACUUGCCUGAAGAUGAGUCUUCCCGGAGGUUGAACCUCCCUCAAGAGUCGUCCGAGACCAGGACGUCGAUAGGUCAGGUGUGUAAGCGCUGUAAGGCGUUGAGCUAACUGAUACUAAUUGCUCGUGAGGCUUGAUCCU